UUCUCAGUAGAACUGGGCUGAUUCUGGCUUGUUCAUAUCCUGGGGCAGGUCUCGGCUGGCCCUCCAGGGCGAAGGAUGUUACAAAACCCAACCCCCUAACAGCUGUCAAGGGAGGGGGUUUGGAGGGGAGGGCAUACGCCCUUGGCACCUGGGAGGAGGGUGCCGUGGUUUCCUUCCCCGCCCUCUCCCCUCCUGACGUGCGGUGUGCGCUGGGGCAAGUCUCAGCAUCUCUCCGAGUUCCGGGAAGUGGGGGCAACCAGCCCACUUCAGAGGGGGAGUGGGUAGAAGAACACACAGGAGCAGAGGCAUGGCAGGCUGUCCAGUGGGAGCUCAGAGUGAAGUGACUUUCCCAAGAUCGUAUAAGUCCAGAGACAGAUCCCGUGGCACACCAUCAGAGACCUCCUGCGGGCUGACAUCGAUUCAUUUAUCAACAUCCCUCAAAUUGGGUCACUUGACAGAUUAUGAAUCUACUUAACCAUCCAAUCCCUCAGCCCUGACACAUAAGCUCCCAGAGGAAAGAAGCAGGAGAAACAGGCACGCAGCAGGCCGGGGACUUGCCCAGGCCUGCAGAGGGUGCUGGGGAAGGGCAGGGAGGAAGCCCCCAGGCUCGCUGGUCCCCACGGUGGCC